GAUGAACGCUGGCGGCGUGCCUAAUACAUGCAAGUCGAGCGAACAGACGAGGAGCUUGCUCCUCUGACGUUAGCGGCGGACGGGUGAGUAACACGUGGAUAACCUACCUAUAAGACUGGGAUAACUUCGGGAAACCGGAGCUAAUACCGGAUAAUAUAUUGAACCGCAUGGUUCAAUAGUGAAAGACGGUUUUGCUGUCACUUAUAGAUGGAUCCGCGCCGCAUUAGCUAGUUGGUAAGGUAACGGCUUACCAAGGCAACGAUGCGUAGCCGACCUGAGAGGGUGAUCGGCCACACUAGAACUGAGACACGGUCCAGACUCCUACGGGAGGCAGCAGUAGGGAAUCUUCCGCGAUGGGCGAAAGCUUGACGGAGCAACGCCGCGUGAGUGAUGAAGGUCUUCGGAUCGUAAAACUCUGUUAUUAGGGAAGAACAAAUGUGUAAGUAACUAUGCACGUCUUGACGGUACCUAAUCAGAAAGCCACGGCUAACUACGUG
rnacentral:rRNA from 1 species